UGAGGAGCGAAAGCAUGGGGAGCGAACAGGAUUAGAUACCCUGGUAGUCCAUGCCGUAAACGUUGGGCACUAGGUGUGGGGACCAUUCCACGGUUUCCGCGCCGCAGCUAACGCAUUAAGUGCCCCGCCUGGGGAGUACGGCCGCAAGGCUAAAACUCAAAGGAAUUGACGGGGGCCCGCACAAGCGGCGGAGCAUGCGGAUUAAUUCGAUGCAACGCGAAGAACCUUACCAAGGCUUGACAUGUUCUCGAUCGCCGUAGAGAUACGGUUUCCCCUUUGGGGCGGGUUCACAGGUGGUGCAUGGUUGUCGUCAGCUCGUGUCGUGAGAUGUUGGGUUAAGUCCCGCAACGAGCGCAACCCUCGUUCCAUGUUGCCAGCACGUAAUGGUGGGGACUCAUGGGAGACUGCCGGGGUCAACUCGGAGGAAGGUGAGGACGACGUCAAAUCAUCAUGCCCCUUAUGUCUUGGGCUUCACGCAUGCUACAAUGGCCGGUACAAUGGGUUGCGAUACUGUGAGG
rnacentral:rRNA from 1 species